rnacentral:rRNA from 1 species
UACGUAGGGUGCAAGCGUUGUCCGGAAUUAUUGGGCGUAAAGGGCGCGUAGGCGGCCCGCUAAGUCGAACGUGAAAUCCCCAGGCUCAACCUGGGAACUGCGUCCGAUACUGGCAGGCUUGAAUCCGGGAGAGGGAUGUGGAAUUCCAGGUGUAGCGGUGAAAUGCGUAGAUAUCUGGAGGAACACCGGUGGCGAAGGCGACAUCCUGGACCGGUAUUGACGCUGAGGCGCGAAAGCCAGGGGAGCAAACGGG